UUCAUGCUGCCCGAGGACGCUGCCAUGGCUGUGGGUGAGUGGAGGGAGGGACGCCAAGCAGGGCAGGCCUCUCACCUGCCACCUGGGCCCACUGACGCCUGUCCCUGCAGCUGACGGCCUCCAACCACGUGAGCAACGUCACCGUGAACUACAACGUCACCGUGGAGCGGAUGAACAGGAUGCAGGGCCUGCGGGUCUCCACAGUGCCGGCCGUGCUGUCCCCCAAUGCCACGCUGGCACUGACGGCGGGCGUGCUGGUGGACUCGGCCGUGGAGGUGGCCUUCCUGUGGACCUUUGGGGAUGGGGAGCAGGCUCUCCACCAGUUCCAGCCUCCGUACAACGAGUCCUUCCCGGUUCCAGACCCUCGGUGGCCCAGGUGCUGGUGGAGCACAAUGUCACGCACACCUACGCUGCCCCAGGUGCUGAUCCGGAGUGGCCGGGUGCCCAUUGUGUCCUUGGAGUGUGUGUCCUGCAAGGCACAGGCCGUGUACGAAGUGAGCCGCAGCUCCUACGUGUACCUGGAGGGCCGCUGCCUCAAUUGCAGCAGUGGCUCCAAGCGAGGGCGGUGGGCUGCACGUACGUUCAGCAACAAGACGCUGGUGCUGGAUGAGACCACCACGUCCACGGGCAGCGCAGGCAUGCGACUGGUGCUGCGGCGGGGCGUGCUGCGGGACGGCGAGGGAUACACCUUCACGCUCACGGUGCUGGGCCGCUCUGGCG
rnacentral:sRNA from 1 species